GACCUGAUAGCACAGUGAUUAGUGCAUCUGCUUUAAUUGGCGAAAUGCAGUCAAAUUUAGGCAGAAGGUUCCUGUUCAAUUCGGGGUCAGGUCA